GAUUAUGGCUCAGGAUGAACGCUAGCUACAGGCUUAACACAUGCAAGUCGAGGGGCAGCGGGAAGGAAGCUUGCUUCUUGCCGGCGACCGGCGCACGGGUGAGUAACGCGUAUCCAACCUGCCCGCGGCUCAGGGAUAGCCUCGUGAAAACGAGAUUAAUACCUGAUGGUCUUGGAGGCUGACAUCGGUUUCCAAGUAAAGAUUUAUCGGCAGCGGAUGGGGAUGCGUUCCAUUAGGUUGUGGCGGGUAACGGCCACCAAGCCGACGAUGGAUAGGGGUUCUGAGAGGAAGGUCCCCCCACAUUGGAACUGAGACACGGUCCAAACUCCUACGGGAGGCAGCAGUGAGGAAUAUUGGUCAAUGGGCGAGAGCCUGAACCAGCCAAGUAGCGUGAGGGAUGACUGCCCUAUGGGUUGUAAACCUCUUUUAUACGGGAAUAAAAUGCGCCACGUGUGGUGUUUUGCAUGUACCGUAAGAAUAAGCAUCGGCUAAUUCCGUGCCAGCCGCCGC
rnacentral:rRNA from 1 species